rnacentral:precursor_RNA from 12 species
CAGGGGAAGAUCUAAAUUAUUAUUCGGCACUCGUAACCGUAGCCCCUGGUUACAGUAAAUAAUUCGUUAACCAGAGUUACCGUUACGAUUGUCAAAUAAUAAAUAUUCAACGGCCUUAAU